GGGGCGGGACUUCCGGCUUCCCUGCUCCCACAAAAUGGUAGCCGCCGUGGGGGAUGUCCAGUUUUUUUUCCUCUUCCCAAGUACAGACGCAGAGCAGACUUGUCUUUCCGCUUAACCUCAACCUCGUGUGAUCUGCCAGUUUCGCUCCCGACGCCAAAUUCCAGCGAAACAGCUGAUGCCAGCCAGCUUGAAGACCCCUGCCACAGAAGAAGGGAAUCAGCAUGAGAAUACAGCUUCUUCAUCUCGCUGUCCCAUGACUUCGCCCUGUACUCUUCAGCCAAUUAAUGAUCUCCACACUUGGGACCACUCUAAAACCCUUAAGAACCUGAGACUCAAAGUCCUCCUGGAGACGAAUUUGAGGUUUCCUCCUAUCUGUGUUUGGUGGCCCUAUGAUUAAACCUCUUUCUCUUCUGCAACCUGGUGUCCCAGUGUAUUAACUUGCCAUGGGCAUCAGACAACAAACCUAUAUAUAGUAUCCCAAAUAUGGUGCUCCACUUUGAAACCUGAAGAAAUCCUGCAAUUGAGUUAGCCUUUUGAAAUAAAAAUUAUUUCAAAUUUUAAAA
rnacentral:lncRNA from 1 species